rnacentral:lncRNA from 1 species
AUUUAUAAAUCACAAUUUAAAAUAAUUUAUAAAUCAAUUUAUAUUUUAACUUAUUUUAAAAUAGGAUAAAUCAACUUUUGGUACAUGUACUGGGACACGACUUACAAUUUGGUAUCUGAAGUGAAAAAAGUUACAAACUGGUUAUUGUACUCGAAAAAUGUUACACUUCGUUAAACAUUAGGGACACGACUUACAAUUUGGUACCCGAAGUGAAAAAAGUUACAAACUGGUGAUUGUACUCAAAAUAUUUUGUAAUCUGGUGCUUGUACUUUCCAAUUUUUAAAUAAUCGUUAAAAUUGAUCCAACGGGAGAGACAAACAUACAGAGAGAGAAGCGAAGUCGACGCGAAGAAGAUCCUCGAUAUUUUAUUACAUCUUUUCUUGCCUCCCACAUUCGCAUCAUUGCUCCACAGUGGCACCAACUUGGGAACUCUGGUGUAAUCCAUUCAUUUUUGUUGCGUGAACUACAAUCUUCUUCCCCGAUUUCAUUUAUGAUUCCACUCCAAGACGAGCUCAUCCUUUCAAUUAAACACUGAAAAUUCUUUAAUAAAUAUAUGGGAACCAGUAAUCAAUGGAGAAUCGAGACAAGAAGAAGGACAGAAGAAGAUAAUUCUAAUUUUUAAACAGAAUAAAGAUGAAACCCUACUGUUUAACGGAGUGUAACAUUUUUCGAGUACAAUCACCAGUUUGUAACUUUUUUCAUUUCGGGCCUGUACUGGGACACGACUUACAAUUUGGUACCCGAAAUGAAAUAAAGUUAUAAAGUGGUGAUUGUACUCGAAAAAGGUUACACUCCGUUAAACAUUAGGGACACAACUUACAAUUUGGUACCCGAAGUGAAAAAAAUUACAAACUGGUGAUUGUAUUAAAAAAAAUUUUAUAAUCUGGUGUUUGUACUUUCCCAUUUUUAAAUAAUUGUUAAAAUUGAUCCAACGAGAUAGACAAACAUACAGAGAGAGAAGCGAAGUCGACGUGAAUAAGGUCCUCGAUGUUUUGUUUCAUCUUUUUUUGCCUCCCACAUUCGCACCAUUGCUCCACAGUGGCACCGACUUCGGAACUCUGGUGUAAUCCAUUCAUUUUUGUUGCAUAAACUACAAUCUUCUUCCCCGAUUUUAUUUACGAUUCCACUCCAAAACGAGCUCAUACUUUCAAUUAAACACUGAAAACCCUUUAAUAAAUAUAUUGGAACCAGUAAUCAAUGGAGAAUCGAGACAAGAAGAAUGAGAGAAAAAGAAGAACAGAAGAAGAGAACCCUAAUUUUCAAACAGAAUAAAAAUGAAACCCUACUGUUUAACAGAGUAACAUUUUUUUAGUACAAUCACCAGUUUGUAACUUUUUUCACUUCGGGUACUAAAUUAUAAAUUGUGUUCCUAAUGUUUAACAGAGUGUAAUAUUUUUCGAGUACAAUCACCAGUUUGUUAACUUUUUUCACUUCGGGUACCAAAUUGUAAAUCAAGUCCCAGUACAGGUACCAAAAGUUGAUGUAUCCCGUAUAUAUAACUUUCCUCCUUUUCUCCAUUCUCACCAAUAAAUAUCAACAGCAAUAGGAAGUAUUAAUAAAGUAAACAUAUUACCUUCUAAUCUUAAAUUAAAGAACCAAAAGUCACCAACAAUCUAAAAACAUUACCAUCGUUUUUUUUAAUUUUAUUUAAAAAACAGAAACAGAGCUUAUAUUAAGUGCAUACCUGUCUCUUCCUCUCCAAAUUCUCUAGGUAAUAAAAUGAAUAUAUCCAAAGCUGAAGAUUAAAAUUUCACUAAAACAUAUAACUUUUACAAAUACAGAUAUAUAAAUUCUCAAAAAUACCCAUAAUUUUUUUACAGUAAACAAGAUUUUUCUUUUACUAGGUUUCAAUUUUUUCACCAAAAAUAUUAAUGAAUUUGUUUCUUUUUCUGUGGGAAGCAAUCAUACCUCCUUCUAAAGGAGUUUUAACCCAAUUCUCAUAAGCACUCACAAUUUCUUCAUUAUAAACAUGAUCUUUAAUUUCUUCAAUAAAAAAUUUCAUGAAUUUGUUUCUUUUUUGAUAAGAAGAAGAAAUCAUACCUCUUUUAAUUGCAUCCGAUUCAUUUUUCUUGACAAGAUAAAUCUUGGAGACUUCCUCUUUCUCAGGAGUUGGAGUAGGAAGAGGAAGAGUAGGAUACGGACGUAAUAAACGAAGAUCUAAAUUUUGUGUUUCGUAUAUUAUAUCCAUUGAACGAAUAUCCUACUACUGAUACUGAACUUCAAUAAUUAAAUCAAAAUUAAUUUGUUUUUUCUUUCUUUCUUUCUUUCUAUCAAGACAAGACAAGACGUAUAUACGUGAUUAAAACAACUUAUUAAUCAAUUCAAAAGUCUGCCUCAACAUCUUUCACAAAAACAAAGU